rnacentral:rRNA from 1 species
CGUGAGUGAAGAAGGCUUUCGGGUCGUAAAGCUCUGUCAGGCGGGAAGAACCUUUAUGAGACUAAUAGUUUCAUGAACUGACGGUACCGCCAGAGGAAGCACCGGCUAACUCCGUGCCAGCAGCCGCGGUAAUACGGAGGGUGCCAGCGUUAUUCGGAUUCAUUGGGUGUAAAGCGCGUGUAGGCGGCUUGGCAAGUCAGAUGUGAAAGCUCAGGGCUCAACCCUGAAAGUGCAUUUGAAACUGCUUCGCUUGAGUCCCGGAGAGGAAGGUGGAAUUCCCAGUGUAGAGGUGAAAUUCGUAGAUAUUGGGAGGAACAUCGGUGGCGAAGGCGACCUUCUGGACGGAGACUGACGCUGAGACGCGAAAGCGUGGGGAGCAAACAGGAUUAGAUACCCUGGUAGUCCACGCCGUAAACGAUGGGUACUAGGUGUAGGGGGUAUUGACCCCCCCUGUGCCGUAGCUAACGCAUUAA